CCUACGGGAGGCAGCAGUGAGGAAUAUUGGUCAAUGGCCGUAAGGCUGAACAAGCCAAGUCGCGUGAAGGAAGAAGGAACUAUGGUUUGUAAACUUCUUUUAUAGGGGAAUAAAGGUAUCCACGUGUGGAUAUUUGCAUGUACCCUAUGAAUAAGCAUCGGCUAACUCCGUGCCAGCAGCCGCGGUAAUACGGAGGAUGCGAGCGUUAUCCGGAUUUAUUGGGUUUAAAGGGUGCGUAGGUUGUUUUUUAAGUCAGCGGUGAAAGUUUGUGGCUCAACCAUAAAAUUGCCGUUGAAACUGGAAGACUUGAGUGUGUUUGAGGUAGGCGGAAUGCGUGGUGUAGCGGUGAAAUGCAUAGAUAUCACGCAGAACUCCGAUUGCGAAGGCAGCUUACUAAGCCAUAACUGACACUGAAGCACGAAAGCGUGGGGAUCGAACAGGAUUAGAUACCCCAGUAGUC
rnacentral:rRNA from 1 species